rnacentral:rRNA from 1 species
GCCCUACACGACCGUACCGCAAACCGACACUGGUGCGCGAGAUGAGUAUUCUAAGGCGCUUGAGAGAACUCAGGAGAAGGAACUCGGCAAAUUGACACCGUAACUUCGGAAGAAGGUGUGCCUUUAGUAGGUGAAGUCCCUCGCGGAUGGAGCCCAAUGAGGUUGCAAAAAUCGGUGGCUGCGACUGUUUAUUAAAAACACAGCACUCUGCAAACACGAAAGUGGACGUAUAGGGUGUGACGCCUGCCCGGUGCUGGAAGAUUAAAUGAUGGGGUGCAAGCUCUUGAUUGAAGUCCCAGUAAACGGCGGCCGUAACAAUAACGGUCCUAAGGUAGCGAAAUUCCUUGUCGGGUAAGUUCCGACCUGCACGAAUGGCGUAACGAUGGCCACACUGUCUCCUCCUGAGACUCAGCGAAGUUGAAAUGUUUGUGAUGAUGCAAUCUCCCCGCGGAAAGACGGAAAGACCCCAUGAACCUUUACUGUAGCUUUGUAUUGGACUUUGAACAGAUCUGUGUAGGAUAGGUGGGAGGCUUUGAAGCAGGGUCGCUAGAUCUUGUGGAGCCAACGUUGAAAUACCACCCUGGUGUGUUUGAGGUUCUAACCUAGGCCCGUAAUCCGGGUUGGGGACAGUGCAUGGUAGGCAGUUUGACUGGGGCGGUCUCCUCCCAACUGUAACGGAGGAGUUCGAAGGUACGCUAGUUACGGUCGGACAUCGUGACGAUAGUGCAAUGGCAUAAGCGUGCUUAACUGCGAGACUGACAAGUCGAGCAGAUGCGAAAGCAGGACAUAGUGAUCCGGUGGUUCUGUAUGGAAGGGCCAUCGCUCAACGGAUAAAAGGUACUCUGGGGAUAACAGGCUGAUACCGCCCAAGAGUUCAUAUCGACGGCGGUGUUUGGCACCUCGAUGUCGGCUCAUCUCAUCCUGGGGCUGUAGCCGGUCCCAAGGGUAUGGCUGUUCGCCAUUUAAAGAGGUACGUGAGCUGGGUUUAAAACGUCGUGAGACAGUUUGGUCCCUAUCUUCCGUGGGCGCUGCAGAUUUGAGGAAGCCUGCUCCUAGUACGAGAGGACCGGAGUGGACGCACCUCUGGUGUAUCGGUUGUCACGCCAGUGGCAUUGCCGAGUAGCUAUGUGCGGAAGAGAUAACCGCUGAAAGCAUCUAAGCGGGAAACUCGUUUCAAGAUGAGAUCUGCCGGGGCCUUGAGCCCCCUGAAGAGUCGUUCAAGACCAGGACGUUGAUAGGUCGGGUGUGGAAGCGCAGUAAUGCGUUAAGCUAACCCAUACUAAUUGCUCGUGCGGCUUGAUC